rnacentral:rRNA from 1 species
GAUGAACGCUGGCGGCGUGCUUAACACAUGCAAGUCGAACGAAGCACUUUAUUUGAUUUCCUUCGGGACUGAUUAUUUUGUGACUGAGUGGCGGACGGGUGAGUAACGCGUGGGUAACCUGCCUUGUACAGGGGGAUAACAGUUGGAAACGGCUGCUAAUACCGCAUAAGCGCACAGCAUCGCAUGAUGCAGUGUGAAAAACUCCGGUGGUAUAAGAUGGACCCGCGUUGGAUUAGCUAGUUGGUGAGGUAACGGCCCACCAAGGCUACGAUCCAUAGCCGACCUGAGAGGGUGACCGGCCACAUUGGGACUGAGACACGGCCCAAACUCCUACGGGAGGCAGCAGUGGGGAAUAUUGCACGAUGGGCGAAAGCCUGAUGCAGCGACGCCGCGUGAGCGAAGAAGUAUUUCGGUAUGUAAAGCUCUAUCAGCAGGG